AAAGACCGAUCGGUAGAUUUGUUAUCAUGGAGAGGGGGUUAGGGUCGUAGAAUACAAGACUUUGGUGGUUACUGACAGUUCUAACAUGAAUUUGAUUGAUCUGGGAGUUGUGACAUGCAAAUGUUUUAUGGUUGAUGGUUCUGUACCAUCAGUAAUAUUAUAUAAACAUAGUCUCUGCUUUCAUCUUCUUUGAUGAUAUAUUUUCUGGUCAAAAUUUAAAUGCAUUAUGCACCUGUUCUUUUUAUUGUAGUUCCAUUUUUUGUCAAAUUUAUAAAUUCUCUAUGAAUAGGAAUAUAGAGGCAUGUUCUUAAUCUAUUUUGGUUUUUUUGUUCACCCCGAAAUGCAGUAUAGAUCUGCGAUUGACAUUUUUAUUGGACCACUGGGUGAGCAUUUGCAACAAAGAGCCAGGGAGUAAGCUGGGAGCGGACAAACAUAAUGCCCUGAACAUGAGUUUGUCCUUGCAUAAUUAUCCAUGUCUGAUGGUAGGAAGAGACAGGAUCAGAUCGCUCACCAGUGAUGAAGACGUGGUAGUACCGUAGUAGGGUGUGGUAGAUGAACAUGUCUUUAUUUUCUGAAUCGCUUAAUAUUAUAUGAUAUUGUACUGACAAGUAGGAGGUGAUUGCUGAUGGGUGAUUCUAGAUUCUUGAGUGAAUACUAGCUACCAUGUUAUCCUAAGUGCUGUCAACUAUUCAAUUACAAAUAAAAACUCAAGAACGUA